rnacentral:rRNA from 1 species
UACGGAAGGGGCAAGCGUUGUUCGGAUUCAUUGGGCGUAAAGGGUGCGUAGGCGGCGCGGUAAGUCGGGUGUGAAAUCUUGGAGCUUAACUCCGAAACUGCAUUCGAUACUGCCGUGCUUGAGGACUGGAGAGGAGACUGGAAUUUACGGUGUAGCGGUGAAAUGCGUAGAUAUCGUAAGGAAGACCAGUGGCGAAGGCGGGUCUCUGGACAGUUCCUGACGCUGAGGCACGAAGGUCAGGGGGAGCAAACGGGG